ACCGGCCACAUUGGGACUGAGAUACGGCCCAGACUCCUACGGGAGGCAGCAGUGGGGAAUAUUGCACAAUGGGCGCAAGCCUGAUGCAGCGACGCCGCGUGCGGGAUGGAGGCCUUCGGGUUGUAAACCGCUUUUGUUCAAGGGCAAGGCACGGUUUCGGCCGUGUUGAGUGGAUUGUUCGAAUAAGCACCGGCUAACUACGUGCCAGCAGCCGCGGUAAUACGUAGGGUGCGAGCGUUAUCCGGAUUUAUUGGGCGUAAAGGGCUCGUAGGCGGUUCGUCGCGUCCGGUGUGAAAGUCCAUCGCCUAACGGUGGAUCUGCGCCGGGUACGGGCGGGCUGGAGUGCGGUAGGGGAGACUGGAAUUCCCGGUGUAACGGUGGAAUGUGUAGAUAUCGGGAAGAACACCAAUGGCGAAGGCAGGUCUCUGGGCCGUCACUGACGCUGAGGAGCGAAAGCGUGGGGAGCGAACAGGAUUAGAUACCCUGGUAGUCCACGCCGUAAACGGUGGAUGCUGGAUGUGGGGCCCUUUCCACGGGUCCCGUGUCGGAGCCAACGCGUUAAGCAUCCCGCCUGGGGAGUACGGCCGCAAGGCUAAAACUCAAAGAAAUUGACGGGGGCCCGCACAAGCGGCGGAGCAUGCGGAUUAAUUCGAUGCAACGCGAAGAACCUUACCUGGGCUUGACAUGUGCCGGAUCGCCGUGGAGACACGGUUUCCCUUCGGGGCCGGUUCACAGGUGGUGCAUGGUCGUCGUCAGCUCGUGUCGUGAGAUGUUGGGUUAAGUCCCGCAACGAGCGCAACCCUCGCCGCAUGUUGCCAGCGGGUGAUGCCGGGAACUCAUGUGGGACCGCCGGGGUCAACUCGGAGGAAGGUGGGGAUGACGUCAGAUCAUCAUGCCCCUUACGUCCAGGGCUUCACGCAUGCUACAAUGGCCGGUACAACGCGGUGCGACACGGUGACGUGGGGCGGAUCGCUGAAAACCGGUCUCAGUUCGGAUCGCAGUCUGCAACUCGACUGCGUGAAGGCGGAGUCGCUAGUAAUCGCGGAUCAGCAACGCCGCGGUGAAUGCGUUCCCGGGCCUUGUACACACCGCCCGUCAAGUCAUGAAAGUGGGUAGCACCCGAAGCCGGUGGCCCGACCCUUGUGGGGGGAGCCGUCUAAGGUGAGACUCGUGAUUGGGACUAAGUCGUAACAAGGUAGCCGUACCGGAAGGUGCGGCUGGAUCACCUCCUU
rnacentral:rRNA from 1 species